AAAAGAGGGCCCCAAGUGGGCCAAAAGCAAAAGGUAAUAAAAAACUAAAACCGUAGAGAAGCUAACUGUGGAAACUCCCCCAUUUCCCAAGCCCUUUCCUUGCUCUUCUUUCUUGCGAACUCCCCAGUUUUCCAUUUCCUUCCCUUAAACCAGCCGGCCUAAACCAAUUUCCUUCAAAAUUUUCUUCCGUCCAGACAAAGAAAACCGACCCACAUAAAAAAAACCGGAUAUUUUUGUGAUUCUAGUGAAACUAAACCCAAAAAAUGGCCGUUUUUACUUUAUUUCAACUCUGAACCGCUCCCAAUCCCCAAAUUCUUACUUCGGCUUAAAAAGAGAGACCGGCGAACCGGGCUGAUUAGAGGACCAAAACCAUUGACCAUGACCACGACUACGACGGACCUUGCCGCGGGCGGCGAGGACCGGGUCCUGGCGACGGCUCAGCAGAUCGUGAAGAGUCUCAACACUCCAAAAGAGGUUCGUGAAGACAUGCUCUUGAUUUUCUCGAGCUUCGAUAACCGUUUGUCCAACAUCACCGAUUUAAUCAACAACGACUCUGACAGUACCGCCGACCGCUUUGACACCGCCGAGAAAGUGAUCCUCCGGUGGGACUCUUCCUCAUCCAACCCCGACGCUUCCCGCCACUCUCUUCCGUGGGAAGAAUCUCCCGAUGAAGCUGCCGAGUAUCUCUCGGCGGUUGACGAAAUCCUUCAAUUGGUUGUGGAUAUGUCGAUUCGGUCCAAUAGCGAAAUCAUGGGCCGGGCUGAGAGCGCUAUCCAGAUGGCUAUGUCAAGGCUGGAAGAUGAGUUUCGGCUUAUUUUGAUUAGGAACACUGUCCCGCUUGAUGCGGAGAGGCUUUACGGUUCGAUCCGGAGGUCGUCCCUUUCUUUUGCAGCGAAUGAAGGGGAAAUUGACGAGGAAUUCGAGAGUUUUGAAGAGGCUGACAGUGAAAGAGGGUGCUUUCACGAGCGAGGAGCUAGUUUGGGAGAUGAUUUAUGUGUGGAUUUGAUAAAUGCUGAUGCUGUUUUGGAGUUGAAAGAGAUUGCAGACCGGAUGAUCCGGUCUGGAUACGAAAAAGAGUGUGUUCAAGCUUAUAGUAAUGUUAGGCGUGAUGCUUUGGAUGAGUGUUUGGUGAUUCUUGGAGUUGAGAAGUUGAGUAUUGAGGAAGUUCAGAAGAUUGAGUGGAAAACUUUGGAUGAAAAGAUGAAGAAAUGGAUUCAGGCGGUUAAGAUUACUGUUAGGGUUCUUUUGACCGGAGAAAAGAGGCUUUGUGAUCAGAUUUUUAAUGGGUCCGAUUCGAUCAAAGAGAUUUGUUUUAAUGAAACAGCUAAAGGGUGUAUAAUGCAGCUGUUGAAUUUUGGGGAAGCUGUGGCCAUUGGGAAAAGAUCAUCUGAGAAACUGUUUAGGAUCCUGGAUAUGUAUGAUGCGUUGGCAGAUGCACUGAUGCAUUUUGAGAUGAUGCUUACUGAUGAAUUUGUAAGUAGUGAGGCGAAGGGCGUGCUAGCUGGAUUAGGGGAUGCGGCGAAAGGGACUUUUGUGGAGUUUGAGAAUGCUGUGAAGAAUGAGGCUUCCAAGAAACCUAUGCAGACUGGGGAGAUUCAUCCUCUUACACGUUAUGUGAUGAAUUAUGUGAAACUGCUUGUGGAUUAUAGGGAGACUUUGAAUUCAUUAUUGGAGAGUGAUGAGGAUGAAGCAGAUGGAUUGCAGAGUGAUGACAGUGAGCUGGAGACCACGACUCCAUUUGCUAAGCGGUUGUUGUUGUUGAUAUCCUCCCUCGAAUCCAAUCUUGAGGAGAAAUCAAAACUGUAUGAGGAUGGUGCAUUGCAUUCUAUAUUUUUGAUGAAUAAUAUUCUGUAUAUAGUGCAAAAGGUGAAGGAUUCCGAACUAGGAAAGCUUUUGGGAGACAAUUGGGUUCGUAAGCGGCGUGGCCAGAUACGCCAGUAUGCUACUAGUUAUCUUAGAGCCUGUUGGACCAAAGCUCUGUAUUGUCUGAAGGAUGAAGGAAUUGGUGGUAGCUCUAAUAAUGCGUCCAAGGUAGCCUUGAAGGAAAGAUUUAAGAGCUUCAAUGCAUGUUUUGAAGAAAUAUAUAGGAUUCAGACAGCUUGGAAGGUCCCAGAUCCUCAACUUCGUGAAGAGCUUCGAAUUUCUAUAUCAGAGAAAGUAAUUCCAGCUUACCGCUCCUUCAUGGGGAGGUUUGGGAGUCAGCUAGAGAGUGGAAGGUACACUGGAAAAUACAUUAAGUAUACACCUGAGGAUUUAGAAAAUUAUCUAUUGGAUUUGUUUGAAGGAUCAACUCUUGUUCUUCACCAUAUGAGAAGAAAGAGUUCAUAGGAUACAGGACUCGUGUUACAGGAUUGAAACCAGUAAAUAUAUUUUGAUUCCCAAUUGUGCCAUGUCUCUUUAGCAAUACCUACUGGGACGCUGCCCAUCAGCUUGCGGAUUGAGGGGGAAGAAAUCACUCAGUGCUCUUGCAUCAAAUGAACAGCUCAACAAAAGAGGAGAACAAGGCUAAAGCUUGGAAGGAAGUUGGGUGGGAUAAAUAGGGCACAAUAACUAGUGCUUAUAUUGGCAUAUAGUGGAAGCUUCCUUGAUAGAAGUCUGAAUGUUCAUUUAGGAAAUCUAUGGCUUUAUGGUUUACCCUCUGGAAUUAUUUUGCGUGCUUAGUUAGAGGAAUAAAUAUUCCCUUGAAAUAAGCUUGUGUGCUUUGGUUUCUAGGAAAGAAUGAUUAAAAUUGGGCAGCUUGAAAUAAAGGAAGAAAUUAUAGGUGUUAUGAUUUGAAAUUCAAAUAUACUGGAUGUUACUGGAUCGUUACAUGGUAAGUUUCAUGUUCAGUCUCUUGACAGUUUUGAUCCGAAGGAAAUUAUAAUUUUUGUGCUCUUCAUUGGCUUUUUGACGUUUAGUACCAAAAACUAAUUUGAAUCUAUUGUUAUCAUUAGAAAAACAGUAGACACUAGUGUGAAGUAAUAUACAUUUUGAUGUGAGCGUUGCCUGUUGCUAAAGAACAAUCUACAAAAGCAGAAAACCCCAGGCUGACAAGAGGACAUGAAACAGGGCCACCCUGCUUCCAAGCAACGGGAAAUCUUUAAUAAACACAUGUUUUCAGACAUUAUGUUACAAAUAAACGUGCAAUGUCUUUGUUUACAGCAGGAACUUAAUAGAUCC